rnacentral:rRNA from 1 species
AGUGAACGCUGGCGGUAGGCCUAACACAUGCAAGUCGAACGGCAGCACAGUAAGAGCUUGCUCUUACGGGUGGCGAGUGGCGGACGGGUGAGGAAUACAUCGGAAUCUACUUUUUCGUGGGGGAUAACGUAGGGAAACUUACGCUAAUACCGCAUACGACCUACGGGUGAAAGCAGGGGAUCUUCGGACCUUGCGCGAUUGAAUGAGCCGAUGUCGGAUUAGCUAGUUGGCGGGGUAAAGGCCCACCAAGGCGACGAUCCGUAGCUGGUCUGAGAGGAUGAUCCGCCACACUGGAACUGAGACACGGUCCAGACUCCUACGGGAGGCAGCAGUGGGGAAUAUUGGACAAUGGGCGCAAGCCUGAUCCAGCCAUACCGCGUGGGUGAAGAAGGCCUUCGGGUUGUAAAGCCCCUUUGUUGGGAAAGAAAAGCAGCAGGUUAAUACCCCGCUGUUCUGACGGUACCCAAAGAAUAAGCACCGGCUAACUUCGUG